GUUCAGGGUCAGUUGGCUAAUUAUGUCACUCUCAUCUGUAAUUGCUGAGUGUUGUAUGGCAAUCAAGACAUAUGGUUGACAUAAUUUUUUAGGGAUCGCGUCUCGAAAAACGCGAUCCCUCG